rnacentral:rRNA from 1 species
GUCAAAAAGAUUAAGUUAUUAAGGGCGCACGGUGGAUGCCUUGGCACUAGAAGCCGACGAAGGACGUUACUAACGACGAUAUGCUUUGGGGAGCUGUAAGUAAGCUUUGAUCCAGAGAUUUCCGAAUGGGGAAACCCAGCACGAGUUAUGUCGUGUUAUCGAUAUGUGAAUACAUAGCAUAUCUGAAGGCAGACGCGGAGAACUGAAACAUCUUAGUACCCGCAGGAAGAGAAAGAAAAAUCGAUUCCCUGAGUAGCGGCGAGCGAAACGGGAAGAGCCCAAACCAACGAGCUUGCUUGUUGGGGUUGUAGGACACUCUAUACGGAGUUACAAAAGAACAGACUAGACGAAUCAUCUGGAAAGAUGAAUCAAAGAAGGUAAUAAUCCUGUAGUCGAAAGUUUGUUCACUCUUGAGUGGAUCCUGAGUACGACGGAACACGAGAAAUUCCGUCGGAAUCUGGGAGGACCAUCUCCCAAGGCUAAAUACUCUCUAGUGACCGAUAGUGAACCAGUACCGUGAGGGAAAGGUGAAAAGUACCCCGGAAGGGGAGUGAAAUAGAACUUGAAACCGUGUGCUUACAAGUAGUCAGAGCCCGUUAAUGGGUGAUGGCGUGCCUUUUGUAGAAUGAACCGGCGAGUUACGAUUUGAUGCAAGGUUAAGCAGUGAAUGUGGAGCCGUAGCGAAAGCGAGUCUGAAUAGGGCGUUGAGUAUUUGGUCGUAGACCCGAAACCAGGUGAUCUACCCAUGACCAGGUUGAAGUUCAGGUAACACUGAAUGGAGGACCGAACCGACUUACGUUGAAAAGUGAGCGGAUGAGUUGUGGGUAGCGGAGAAAUUCCAAUCGAACCUGGAGAUAGCUGGUUCUCUCCGAAAUAGCUUUAGGGCUAGCCUCAAGUGAUGAUUAUUGGAGGUAGAGCACUGUUUGGACGAGGGGCCCUUAUCGGGUUACCGAAUUCAGACAAACUCCGAAUGCCAAUCAAUUUAACUUGGGAGUCAGAACGCGGGUGAUAAGGUCCGUGUUCGAAAGGGAAACAGCCCAGACCACCAGCUAAGGUCCCAAAAUAUAUGUUAAGUGGAAAAGGAUGUGGCGUUGCCCAGACAACUAGGAUGUUGGCUUAGAAGCAGCCAUCAUUUAAAGAGUGCGUAAUAGCUCACUAGUCGAGUGACACUGCGCCGAAAAUGUACCGGGGCUAAACAUAUUACCGAAGCUGUGGAUUGUCCGUAAGGACAAUGGUAGGAGAGCGUUCUAAGGGCGUUGAAGCAUGAUCGCAAGGACAUGUGGAGCGCUUAGAAGUGAGAAUGCCGGUGUGAGUAGCGAAAGACGGGUGAGAAUCCCGUCCACCGAUUGACUAAGGUUUCCAGAGGAAGGCUCGUCCGCUCUGGGUUAGUCGGGUCCUAAGCUGAGGCCGAUAGGCGUAGGCGAUGGAUAACAGGUUGAUAUUCCUGUACCACCAUUAUUCGUUUUAAGCGAUGGGGGACGCAGUAGGAUAGGCGAAGCGUACGAUUGGAUUGUACGUCCAAGCAGUGAGAUUGAGUGUUAGGCAAAUCCGGCACUCUUAAGAUUGAGCUGUGAUGGGGAGAGGAAAUUGUUUCCUCGAGUCGUUGAUUUCACACUGCCAAGAAAAGCCUCUAGCUAGAAUUGUGGUGCCCGUACCGCAAACCGACACAGGUAGUCAAGAUGAGAAUUCUAAGGUGAGCGAGCGAACUCUCGUUAAGGAACUCGGCAAAAUGACCCCGUAACUUCGGGAGAAGGGGUGCUCUUUAGGGUUAACGCCCAGGAGAGCCGCAGUGAAUAGGCCCAAGCGACUGUUUAUCAAAAACACAGGUCUCUGCUAAACCGUAAGGUGAUGUAUAGGGGCUGACGCCUGCCCGGUGCUGGAAGGUUAAGAGGAGUGGUUAGCUUCUGCGAAGCUACGAAUCGAAGCCCCAGUAAACGGCGGCCGUAACUAUAACGGUCCUAAGGUAGCGAAAUUCCUUGUCGGGUAAGUUCCGACCCGCACGAAAGGCGUAACGAUUUGGGCACUGUCUCAACGAGAGACUCGGUGAAAUCAUAGUACCUGUGAAGAUGCAGGUUACCCGCGACAGGACGGAAAGACCCCGUGGAGCUUUACUGUAGUCUGAUAUUGAAAUUCGGCACAGCUUGUACAGGAUAGGUAGGAGCCUGAGAUACGUGAGCGCUAGCUUACGUGGAGGCGUUGGUGGGAUACUACCCUCGCUGUGUUGGAUUUCUAACCCGCACCAUUUAUCAUGGUGGGAGACAGUGUCAGAUGGGCAGUUUGACUGGGGCGGUCGCCUCCUAAAGAGUAACGGAGGCGCUCAAAGGUUUCCUCAGAAUGGUUGGAAAUCAUUCAUAGAGUGUAAAGGCAUAAGGAAGCUUGACUGCGAGACUUACAAGUCGAGCAGGGUCGAAAGACGGACUUAGUGAUCCGGUGGUUCCGCAUGGAAGGGCCAUCGCUCAACGGAUAAAAGCUACCCCGGGGAUAACAGGCUUAUCUCCCCAAGAGUUCACAUCGACGGGGAGGUUUGGCACCUCGAUGUCGGCUCAUCGCAUCCUGGGGCUGUAGUCGGUCCCAAGGGUUGGGCUGUUCGCCCAUUAAAGCGGUACGCGAGCUGGGUUCAGAACGUCGUGAGACAGUUCGGUCCCUAUCCGUCGUGGGCGUAGGAAAUUUGAGAGGAGCUGUCCUUAGUACGAGAGGACCGGGAUGGACAUACCUCUGGUGUACCAGUUGUCGUGCCAACGGCAUCGCUGGGUAGCUAUGUAUGGACGGGAUAAGUGCUGAAAGCAUCUAAGCAUGAAGCCCCCCUCAAGAUGAGAUUUCCCAACUUCGGUUAUAAGAUCCCUCAAAGAUGAUGAGGUUAAUAGGUUCGAGGUGGAAGCAUAGCGAUAUGUGCAGCUGACGAAUACUAAUCGAUCGAAGACUUAAUCAAAUUUUA